rnacentral:piRNA from 1 species
UUUUGAUUUCCCACUCAAGUC